rnacentral:rRNA from 1 species
CUUUCUCUCUGGCGGUAGGCCUAACACAUGCAAGUCGAACGGCAGCACAGUAAGAGCUUGCUCUUACGGGUGGCGAGUGGCGGACGGGUGAGGAAUACAUCGGAAUCUACUUUUUCGUGGGGGAUAACGUAGGGAAACUUACGCUAAUACCGCAUACGACCUACGGGUGAAAGCAGGGGAUCUUCGGACCUUGCGCGAUUGAAUGAGCCGAUGUCGGAUUAGCUAGUUGGCGGGGUAAAGGCCCACCAAGGCGACGAUCCGUAGCUGGUCUGAGAGGAUGAUCGGCCACACUGGAACUGAGACACGGUCCAGACUCCUACGGGAGGCAGCAGUGGGGAAUAUUGGACAAUGGGCGCAAGCCUGAUCCAGCCAUACCGCGUGGGUGAAGAAGGCCUUCGGGUUGUAAAGCCCUUUUGUUGGGAAAGAAAAACAGCAGGUUAAUACCCCGCUGUUCUGACGGUACCCAAAGAAUAAGCACCGGCUAACUUCGUG